rnacentral:rRNA from 1 species
CCUACGGGAGGCAGCAGUGGGGGAUAUUGCACAAUGGAGGGAACUCUGAUGCAGCGACGCCGCGUGAGGGAAGAAGGUUUUCGGAUUGUAAACCUCUGUCUUCGGUGACGAAACGAGACGGUAGCCGAGGAGGAAGCCACGGCUAACUACGUGCCAGCAGCCGCGGUAAUACGUAGGUGGCAAGCGUUGUCCGGAAUUACUGGGUGUAAAGGGAGCGUAGGCGGGAAAGCAAGUUGAAUGUUUAAGGUACGGGCUCAACCUGUACAAGCGUUCAAAACUGUUUUUCUUGAGUGGAGUAGAGGUAAGCGGAAUUCCUAGUGUAGCGGUGAAAUGCGUAAAUAUUAGGAGGAACACCAGUGGCGAAGGCGGCUUACUGGGCUUUAACUGACGCUGAGGCUCGAAAGCGUGGGUAGCAAACAGGAUUAGAUACCCGAGUAG